rnacentral:rRNA from 1 species
AUUGAACGCUGGCGGCAUGCUUUACACAUGCAAGUCGAACGGUAACAGGUUAAGCUGACGAGUGGCGAACGGGUGAGUAAUGCAUCGGAACGUGCCCGAUCGUGGGGGAUAACGCAGCGAAAGCUGCGCUAAUACCGCAUACGAUCUGAGGAUGAAAGCGGGGGACCGUAAGGCCUCGCGCGAUCGGAGCGGCCGAUGUCAGAUUAGGUAGUUGGUGGGGUAAAGGCUCACCAAGCCAACGAUCUGUAGCUGGUCUGAGAGGACGACCAGCCACACUGGGACUGAGACACGGCCCAGACUCCUACGGGAGGCAGCAGUGGGGAAUUUUGGACAAUGGGCGAAAGCCUGAUCCAGCAAUGCCGCGUGCAGGAAGAAGGCCUUCGGGUUGUAAACUGCUCUUGUACGGAGCGAAAAGGCCCUCUCUAAUACAGUGGGCUCAUGACGGUACCGUGAGAAUAAGCACCGGCUAACUACGUGCCAGCAGCCGCAGUAA